GUGGUUUACGGAAGGAGACACGGUUAGCAUACCCCUAGACAAGGAUGGAACACAUUUAUGGUGGAGGCGCUUAAUCCAUUUUUUUU